rnacentral:lncRNA from 1 species
CCCCCCCUUAGUUUCAAUUGAUGACGAUGAAGAUAUCCAAGAAAUGCUGAUAUUUUCUUUGAAAUAUUCAGAAUAUCGAUUUUAGAAUUAUAUAUUGAAAAGAAAGACGUAUCGAGUUUUGAGUACUAUAGUAGGGCAAUACUCUUGGACAUUCUUCGCCUUCGUAACUCUUAUGGUGCAAACCGAUAGUAUUGAGGUCAUGUUUGCAGAACAACACUCAUAUACGGGAUGAUGGCUGGAUAGGCGGUGGAAUAAAUUCUGAUAAUCUAGAUUUUGUGCAGAUGACAGUGAGAAUGAAGACUAUUAGUUGGAUUAGGACAGU